rnacentral:tRNA from 1 species
GCGCUCUUAGUUCAGCCUGGUAGAACGCAGGUCUCCAAAACCUGUUGACGGGGGUUCGAAUCCUCCAGAGCGCG